rnacentral:rRNA from 1 species
AAUCAACGCUGGCGGCGUGCCUAACACAUGCAAGUCGCACGAGAAAGGGUAGCAAUACCUGAGUAAAGUGGCGCACGGGUGAGUAACACGUGACUAAUCUACCCUCGAGUGGGGAAUAACUGAGAGAAAUCUUAGCUAAUACCGCAUAACACUUACGAGUCAAAGCAGCAAUGCGCUUGGGGAGGAGGUCGCGGCCGAUUAGCUAGUUGGCGGGGUAAUGGCCCACCAAGGCGAUGAUCGGUAUCCGGCCUGAGAGGGCGCACGGACACACUGGAACUGAAACACGGUCCAGACUCCUACGGGAGGCAGCAGUGGGGAAUUUUGCGCAAUGGGGGAAACCCUGACGCAGCAACGCCGCGUGGAGGAUGAAGUAUCUUGGUACGUAAACUCCUUUCGAUUGGGAAGAUAAUGACGGUACCGGGUGAGGAAGCACCGGCUAACUCCGU